CCGGUGACAAACCGGAGGAAGUGGGGAUGACGUCCAAGUCAUCGACUGGCCCUUACGGCCUGGGCUACACACGUGCUACAAUGGUCGGUACAAAGGGUUGCCAAGCCGCGAGGUGGAGCUAAUCCCAUAAACCGAUCGUAGUCCGGAUCGCAGUCUGCAACUCGACUGCGUGAAGUCGGAAUCGCUAGUAAUCGUGAAUCAGAAUGUCACGGUGAAUACGUUCCCGGGCCUU
rnacentral:rRNA from 1 species